GCCAUUGUGGUGUAGGGGUUUGAACAUUGGCCUGUGACUCUGGAGACCGUGGUUCAAAUCCCGGCUUGGCU